UUGACCUCAAAUCAGGUAGGACUACCCGCUGAACUUAAGCAUAUCAAUAAGCGGAGGAAAAGAAACUAACAAGGAUUCCCCUAGUAACUGCGAGUGAAGCGGGAAAAGCUCAAAUUUAAAAUCUGGCGGUCUUUGGCUGUCCGAGUUGUAAUCUAGAGAAGUGUUAUCCGCGCUGGACCGUGUACAAGUCUCCUGGAAUGGAGCGUCAUAGAGGGUGAGAAUCCCGUCUUUGACACGGACUGCCAGGGCUUUGUGAUGCGCUCUCAAAGAGUCGAGUUGUUUGGGAAUGCAGCUCAAAAUGGGUGGUAAAUUCCAUCUAAAGCUAAAUAUUGGCGAGAGACCGAUAGCGAACAAGUACCGUGAGGGAAAGAUGAAAAGAACUUUGGAAAGAGAGUUAAACAGUACGUGAAAUUGCUGAAAGGGAAACGCUUGAAGUCAGUCGCGUUGGCCGGGGAUCAACCUUGCUUUUGCUUGGCGUACUUCCCGGUUGAUGGGUCAGCAUCAAUUUUGACCGUUGGAUAAAGGUUAGGGGAAUGUGGCAUCUUCGGAUGUGUUAUAGCCCUUGGUCGCAUACAACGGUUGGGAUUGAGGAACUCAGCACGCCGCAAGGCCGGGUAUUUAUACUACGUUCGUGCUUAGGAUGCUGGCAUAAUGGCUUUAAUCGACCCGUC
rnacentral:rRNA from 1 species